GGGGAAGGGUGCUUGUUCCUGACCUAGCGGCGGACGGGUGAGUAUGCUUAGGAAUCUGCCUAUUAGUGGGGGACAACAUUCCGAAAGGAAUGCUAAUACCGCAUACGCCCUACGGGGGAAAGCAGGGGAUCUUCGGACCUUGCGCUAAUAGAUGAGCCUAAGUCAGAUUAGCUAGUUGGUGGGGUAAAGGCCUACCAAGGCGACGAUCUGUAGCGGGUCUGAGAGGAUGAUCCGCCACACUGGGACUGAGACACGGCCCAGACUCCUACGGGAGGCAGCAGUGGGGAAUAUUGGACAAUGGGCGAAAGCCUGAUCCAGCCAUGCCGCGUGUGUGAAGAAGGCCUUUUGGUUGUAAAGCACUUUAAGCGAGGAGGAGGCUACUGAGAUUAAUACUCUUGGAUAGUGGACGUUACUCGCAGAAUAAGCACCGGCUAACUCUGUGCCAGCAGCCCGCGGUAAUACAGAGGGUGCGAGCGUUAAUCGGAUUUACUGGGCGUAAA
rnacentral:rRNA from 1 species